rnacentral:rRNA from 2 species
CGGGAGGCAGCAGUAGGGAAUCUUCCACAAUGGACGAAAGUCUGAUGGAGCAACGCCGCGUGAGUGAUGAAGGUUUUCGGAUCGUAAAACUCUGUUGUUAAAGAAGAACAAGUGUUAGAGUAACUGUUAACACUUUGACGGUAUUUAACCAGAAAGCCACGGCUAACUACGUGCCAGCAGCCGCGGUAAUACGUAGGUGGCAAGCGUUGUCCGGAUUUAUUGGGCGUAAAGCGAGCGCAGGCGGUUUUGUAAGUCUGCUGUGAAAGCCCUCAGCUCAACUGAGGAAGUGCAGUGGAAACUACAAAACUUGAGUACAGAAGAGGAAAGUGGAACUCCAUGUGUAGCGGUGAAAUGCGUAGAUAUAUGGAAGAACACCAGUGGCGAAGGCGGCUUUCUGGUCUGUUACUGACGCUGAGGCUCGAAAGCAUGGGUAGCGAACAGGAUUAGAUACCCUGGUAGUCCAUGCCGUAAACGAUGAAUACUAGGUGUUGGAGGGUUUCCGCCCUUCAGUGCCGCAGCUAACGCAUUAAGUAUUCCGCCUGGGGAGUACGACCGCAAGGUUGAAACUCAAAGGAAUUGACGGGGGCCCGCACAAGUGGUGGAGCAUGUGGUUUAAUUCGAUGCUACGCGAAGAACCUUACCAGCUCUUGACAUCUUCUGCCAACCCAAGAGAUUGGGCGUUCCCUUCGGGGACAGAAUGACAGGUGGUGCAUGGUUGUCGUCAGCUCGUGUCGUGAGAUGUUGGGUUAAGUCCCGCAACGAGCGCAACCCUUAUUAUUAGUUGCCAGCAUUUAGUUGGGCACUCUAGUGAGACUGCCGGUGAUAAACCGGAGGAAGGUGGGGACGACGUCAAAUCAUCAUGCCCCUUAUGAGCUGGGCUACACACGUGCUACAAUGGAUGGUACAACGAGUCGCGAAACCGCGAGGUCAAGCUAAUCUCUUAAAGCCAUUCUCAGUUCGGAUUGCAGGCUGCAACUCGCCUGCAUGAAGUUGGAAUCACUAGUAAUCGUGGAUCAGCAUGCCANCGGUGAAUACGUUCCCGGGCCUUGUACACCAC